rnacentral:lncRNA from 1 species
GAAAAUAAUGGAAGAACUACUAGCAUUGUUUGAUGUAUAGUUGCAACUUGCAUCUUGAGUGGUAAGUUUAAUACUCUAUUUGUUUGGUGAUAACUGAUAAUGAUAUACUUAAUAUUGUGUAGUUCUGUUUUAUUAUCAUCAAACUAUAAUAUUCUAACUUAUGAUUUAUAUUUUUUUUAGGUUCAAGUGCAAUCAUGCCCCGUGCUACUGCUCAACGCCCCGUGCUACUGCUCAAGAGUCAUGACUGUUUGUUGAGGGAUGCCCUCUCUGUUUUUGUUGCACUAUGUUUAAAUGUUUAAGUGUUAAGACUGUGCAGACUUGCAGUUGGACUGUGUUGGACUUGUUAAGACUGUUUUUGUUGGACUGUGUUUAAGUUGUUGGAAUUGUUGGAUUGUGUUAAGUGUUUAACUCAUUAACUGUGUAAUCAGUACUGUGCAAUUGGC